CAAGAAAUGGUGCUGAUCCUCAUUCUGCAUACGAGGCAGGUUUUGCCUGAAAAAGAACUGCAGCGUUUUCUCAUUAGGAAUUCAAGACCACAUUUGCCCGCAGCCUCACAGAGAGAACUCAUCUUUUUGAGCAGUCACUUUGCAAGACAACCUGAAAGGCACAAGUCCAGAUACAGUCACUCAUUUUGUAGCAUCAGUCGCGCUUGAACUAGAACCUUGCCUAUGGCAUUGAAGAAACUACGAAAUCAAGAAAAUAUUUUAACAUUGUGUUUGCCAAGAGUCUUUUCUAAGUUACCUGCAAAGUUCCAAAAUGUCAUGACUGAGGUGGAGGAUAGGUCCUGCUGGUGGAAACCCACAUGGUUCUUGAAAUUUUAUGUCAGCAGAAACACUGCCAGCUUGGAUUGAAAAGGACAGAGAGAGUACAGAAUGAAAGAAGGUUGCUGAACCUCCAAAAUGCUACUGGGCAGUAAGCAGACUGAUAAAACUACUCAGCUGCAAACAUGUGCUACCUCUCAUGAAAAAGGAAAGAUGCCUCGGAGGGCAGAGCCAAAAGUCGAGAAAGAAGAGCUUAAAGUACAGAGGGCAGAGCUGAGAGCCACAGAAAAUUAUUGCCAGGUAUUGGACCAUAAGGGAGCAUGAAUGGCUGGAUUUCAAAACUGUUUUGGACUGGUGACUCUUUUUUACUAUCCAAUAUCUUCUUUUGGAAAUGGAAUUUCUAUAUCUAUAUUGGAAGCAGAGAACUUGUUUCUUUAAUUUCACAAGUCCACAGAUGGAGAGGAACUGUGCUCUAAGAGUUGAAUUAAAUGGAUUACAGCCAGAACCUCAUCCACACAUGAUUUAGAUGAUGAGAUUUGGGAUUACUGAGCUGAUGAGAUUUAUAUGAGAUUUUUGGACUUGGAGUGAUGUGUAGUGGCAUAAAAACUUAAGGACCUUUGGAUGAGGUGAAUAUAUUUUUCAUUCGGGAGGGACAUGGAUCUUAGUGGACCAGAUGUAGAUUGUGUCAGAUAGAAUAUCCCCCAAAUUAUCCACAAUCCUAAUCCCAGGAAUUUAUUAAUAUGUUACAUUACAUGGCAAAAGGGAAUUUGCAGAUAUAAUAAAUGUCACCAACAUUAAGAUACAGAGAUUAUCCUUGAUUAUCUACGUGGACCCAAUGUAAGUACAUGAGCCCUUAAAUACACAGAAUUUUUUCAUCUGAAGUCAGAGAGAUGUGGCAUAAGGGAAUGUCAGAAAGAUUAAAAGAAUGAGAGGAAUUUAACUCACUGUUGCAGAAAGGAGAUACAUGGAAAGCAUGAGAAUUAGUAUAGGUGUCCUCUAGGAGCAAAGACUUGCCCUAGCAAUCAGUCAAUAAGAAAACAGAGACCUCAGUCCUGCAAGCACAAUUGGAUAUCCAUAUGCAAAUAAAUAAACAAACUGUGAUCUAACCUGGCAGUAAAGUAGAACAAUUAUCACAAGGAAUGUAAGUGGCCUACAUUCAUCGAUUAAUCAUAAAACACCUCAGACUGAAUUAGAAAUGAAAUACAAUAAUAUGUUGCUUACAAGAGACAUGCUUUGAGCAAAAAGAUAAAGAAAGGUGAAAAUAUAUGAAGUGAUAGUAGUUAAAAAAUACUAGAAACAAAGAGAAAUUGAGAAAAACAAAAUUGUAGCAUGAUAUGUUUAACUCAUCAAUCUACAACAGAUAACACAAAACAAAAAUUAAAUAGCACAGAAUGCAUUAAUUUAAAUGACUAAAAUAGAAUUAAGACAUGCUUUGAAUUCUAUCAUCCACUAAUUGAGAUUAUACCUUCUUUUCAAAGCUUUUCUCUUUCUAUACCAAAAUUUACAAUAUAUCAAGUUAUCAAGAAAUUUUGAAUAAAGUCAAUUGUGCAGAAAUAUCACAGGCUAUCCUUUGAUAACAAAACAAAAUAAAAUUAGUAAUAUCAAAAAAUACCAAAUGCUUAGAAACAAAAAUGGUGCACUCCUAAAUAACGACUUGGUCAUCCACUCUAUUAAAAAUAUCUGAUCAGUGGCUGGCCCCGUGGCCAAGUGGUUAAGUUCACGUGCUCUGCUGCAGGUAGCCCAGUGUUUCAUUGGUUCGAAUCCUGGGUGCGGACAUGGCACUGCUCAUCAAACCA